CUACAAAUGAAUUGAGGGGACCCGCACAAGCAGCGGAGCGUGUGGUUUAAUUCGUUGCUACACGAAGAACCUUACCUGGGUUUGACAUAUAGGUUGUAGGGAACUGAAAGGGACCGACCCUUCGGGGAGCCUAUACAGGUGUUGCAUGGCUGUCGUCAGCUCGUGUCGUGAGAUGUUCGGUUAAGUCCGCUAACGAGCGCAACCCUCGUCGUAUGUUAUAUGUGUCAUACGAGACUGCCGGUAAAAGCCGGAGGAAGGUGAGGAUGAUGUCAAGUCAGCAUGACCUUUAUAUCCAGGGCUACACACACGCUACAAUGGUCUGUACAAUGGGUAGCCAAGCCGCGAGGCGGAGCCAAUCCUGAAAGCAGGCCUCAGUUCAGAUUGCAGUCUGCAACUCGACUGCAUGAAGCCGGAGUUGCUAGUAACCGCAGGUCAGCAAUACUGCGGUGAAUACGUUCCCGGGUCUU
rnacentral:rRNA from 1 species